rnacentral:rRNA from 1 species
GAUGAACGCUGGCGGCGUGCCUAAUACAUGCAAGUCGAGCGAACAGACGAGGAGCUUGCUCCUCUGACGUUAGCGGCGGACGGGUGAGUAACACGUGGAUAACCUACCUAUAAGACUGGGAUAACUUCGGGAAACCGGAGCUAAUACCGGAUAAUAUAUUGAACCGCAUGGUUCAAUAGUGAAAGACGGUUUUGCUGUCACUUAUAGAUGGAUCCGCGCCGCAUUAGCUAGUUGGUAAGGUAACGGCUUACCAAGGCAACGAUGCGUAGCCGACCUGAGAGGGUGAUCGGCCACCCUGGAACUGAGCCACGGUCCAGACUCCUGCGGGAGGCAGCAGUAGGGAAUCUUCCGCAGUGGGCGAAAGCCUGACGGAGCAACGCCGCGUGAGUGAUGAAGGUCUUCGGAUCGUAAAACUCUGUUAUUAGGGAAGAACAAAUGUGUAAGUAACUAUGCACGUCUUGACGGUACCUAAUCAGAAAGCCACGGCUAACUACGUG